rnacentral:lncRNA from 1 species
UCUUUUGCUUCUCUUUCUACCGAUAUUUGUUCUCUCUUCCACCGCCAUCCAUUUUCUUCACGACCUUUCUCUUCUUGAAGAAUCGAUCUUGCAGGCUCCACUGCUCAGACGUGAAUCCCCCAAUCUACAAGUACCUUCGAUUUUAUCACAUCUUUUCCCAUCAAUCCAUCCUCCCCUUCAUCGAACCCUCCACUACGACGUAAGAAGUUCUCCAUCAACACCUCCCUUCCAGCCGCAACAGCGCAUUCCGUAGAGACGUAAAACUAAAAUGAUGUCGACCGCAACCACUCCACCAUGGUCCAUCAAUGGCGACAAAACUAUUAUUUGGUGAAAACGAUAAUCGGAUGCUACAAAUAUGCAUUACAGUUACUUAAGGUUCUUUUUGUAUACUCAGUGUUACUUGAAAUCCAUUUUCCUUAUGUUAUAUUUUACCGUUUGAUGAAUUUAUGGAAUUUGUAGUGUUCAAAAAGCAUAUCCAAAUUCCAUGCAUAAGUCUCUCGGGUUGUUUAAAUCAGGUUAUUCCAUCUGUAAUAAACUGCAACCAUUAUUAUUAGCCUUUAACUUUUCAAUAAAAAAUGGAUAUUUCAAGUCUUUAUAACUUAUAUACAUUUGUUUUUAAAAGAAAACCAAAAGGAGAAAUAUCUCACACUUCUCACAAAAGGAUGGCAUUCGUGGCCAUACUUGCUUUGAUCAAGCAGACAAAGAUCUUAAACUGUUAGGGAUAUUUCUUUCUUUAUAGAUCAAAUCAAGACUAUUGUGAUCUUCGAAUUCCAAUGAUCAUUCAUCUUAUUAUUAUUUCUUUGUGAUCAUUUUCUGGAUAGCGUUUGUAAUGGUUUUGUUUUGCUCUUACAGGAAAACAACAAUUAACCUGACAUUUUCAAUGGGGAAGACAAUUGUAUGUAUUUCAUUCUUUAAAUUGAUUUAUUUAUCCUAUUCUUUUUACUUAGUUUACACUUCUUAGUUGUGGUAGUUCUAUCGAUAUUUACAGCAAUUUUAGUCGUUUUAAUUUUGGAUUCAAUUUUGGGCUCUGAUUGAAACCCUUAAAUCUUUGUAACUAUUGUUUCAGAUAUGCUUCGGUAAUUUCUUUAAAUUGAGGUAUUGUCUCCCUUUUAUGUUAUUAACCCUUUAAAUAACAUGAGUUAUUAAGAGAACAUGGAUUAAAAUAUGUGUAUUUGGCUGGAUGAGCAUGUGCUAUAUAUGAUAUAUCAUUUAGUACCAUAGGAUACCAUGCAUACUGCAAGAUGUACUAAAAGCAAUGCCCGAGUGGAAUAUUUGUCCAUAGGAUACCAUAUGAUUAUAUACAUAUAGUAUGAAGUUUUAAAAGUUGAGGCAUCUCAAAAUGAAAACAAAGUGAGACUCAAUUUGAAUUUGAAUUCAAAUAAUAAUAAUAAUUUUUUUUUGUUUAGAUUUGGAGUAUGAAGGAGGAGAAACACACUCAUGAUUUAAGAUACCAUACUAUGGUAAUUAAGUGGUUGAUUUUGAGUAAUAGAUUGUGCUUAUUUUGAAUUCGAAAUCUUUGAUUUAUUACUAACCGAAUGUAGUGAGAUUAAGUUCAAUUGGGCUACUCAUCAUUAAUCCAAAAAAAAAAAUGUUGGCAAGGUACGUAUAACGAUUUGCAAAUUAUUUAUUUAUUUUAAUUUGCCAUUUGUGCUGACUAAAUUACUUAAUUAGUUAUGUGACUGCAUGAGUUUUAAUUUAUUUUACAAUUUGCUGUGAAUGAUCUAGUCAUUAAUAAAUCUUAUGGGAUGUAGUAUAUGGAAGAACAAUUGUAACAUUGAAUUGGCAUAUGUAUUAAUUGAUUAACUUAUAAUUGGAUAGAUUUGUCUAAGUAUGAUGCCAUAAUAAGAAAAGAAAACAUGCAUAAAUUUCAACGUACAAUUUCUAAA